UAACCUUGAUGGCGACCGGCGCACGGGUGAGUAACGCGUAUGCAACCUGCCCGAUACCGGGGUAUAGCCCAUGGAAACGUGGAUUAACACCCCAUAGUACUUUUAUCCUGCCUGGGAUGGGAGUUAAAUGUUCAAGGUAUCGGAUGGGCAUGCGUCCUAUUAGUUAGUUGGCGGGGUAACAGCCCACCAAGACGAUGAUAGGUAGGGGUUCUGAGAGGAAGGUCCCCCACAUUGGAACUGAGACACGGUCCAA
rnacentral:rRNA from 1 species